rnacentral:rRNA from 1 species
AGAGCGAACGCUGGCGGCAGGCCUAACACAUGCAAGUCGAACGGACCCUUCGGGGUUAGUGGCGGACGGGUGAGUAACACGUGGGAACGUGCCUUUAGGUUCGGAAUAGCUCCUGGAAACGGGUGGUAAUGCCGAAUGUGCCCUUCGGGGGAAAGAUUUAUCGCCUUUAGAGCGGCCCGCGUCUGAUUAGCUUGUUGGUGAGGUAAUGGCUCACCAAGGCUACGAUCAGUAGCUGGUCUGAGAGGAUGACCAGCCACAUUGGGACUGAGACACGGCCCAAACUCCUACGGGAGCAGCAGGUGGGAAUCGUUGCGCAAUGGG